GUCCCAGUUCGGAUUGUAGUCUGCAACCCGACUACAUGAAGCUGGAAUCGCUAGUAAUCGCGAAUCAGAAUGUCGCGGUGAAUACGUUCCCGGGUCUUGUACACACCGCCCGUCACACCAUGGGAGUCGGAAAUGCCCGAAGUCAGUGACCUAACCGAAAGGGAGGAGCUGCCGAAGGUGGAGCCGGUAACUGGGGUGAAGUCGUAACAAGGUAUC
rnacentral:rRNA from 1 species